CUUUAGCUCUAGGGCCUGGGUGGCAGAUUUAGGGAUGACCUUUGGUCUAAGUUUGCUGUGGUGAUUUAGGGAGUUAAUAUAGAAGUGGAGAGCCUAGAAAUGUGUCCGGCCCAGGGGAGCAGUGUGCUAACCAUCACUAUUAUGACAUGGGUCACCUAGACGCUCUUUGCUUAUGAAGGAGGUGUGGGGUCUCCUGUCUCAUUCACCAGGCGCCGUGCUCAAGCCCUCAGACCUGAGCUCUGUUCCAAGUCUUUGGCUCUGAAGGCCACAGAGGAGGGCCCUUAUCAGCUCAUUCUCUGCAUGCAGAGCCAACUUGGCCCUGGAUGGAGUGGGAAUGAUGGGAUGAGGCGCUCUGGACAGCGGUUAUGAGGGCACAGCCUGGACUGCUGGGCUCUUUUCCGAGUGGGAGGAUAUGAGCAAUUCUGUGGCUUCCUCCUGACUGAGCAACAGACUUUGAGCUGAUUUGGGAACAUCUCCGGGAUGGACACCAGCUGGCUUGCACACCCCCCCAACAUAUGGAGCACAGCAUGCCCCAGAGAGAUUUUUUCCAGAAUCUCACCAGGCUAAGAAUUAUGUGGAACUCCUGCCUGAUAAUGAGGCUUGGCGUUAGAAGAGGAUAGACGGGCAGGCGACCUUGGACACACUCAUCUCCUCCAGGGUAAGUGUUCCAAUCUGAACCUCAGUUUCCUCCUCUGUCCAGCAGGGAGUAGAUUUCCAUGAUCCCCAAGAUUCCCUGCAAAGAACCAUGGUGUGUUCUUUGUCCUGCACGAUGGAUGGCUCACUCAGCAGCUGCCUGCUUUCUGCAGUCUGAAUCUUGUUCAAAAUUUCACUCCCCCAACAUCUUUAAAAAAAUCUGUAAAAACAAAAAUAGAUUGACCUCUUAGAAGCAGUCAGUGCAUCAAAAUGAGUCUGAAGCCUUCUGUGCUUAACAGUGUCGACAGUAAUUGAUGCAUUUCACAGAAAUAGGCUGGAGAAAUCCAAAAGCAGGGCCAAGGUUGACAUUUUCUAUGUCAGCAUUCACUUGCCUACUGUCCACUUAAUUUUUCUGUCCUGCUGACUUCUGACAGGGUAGUGCCCACUCCUGGGUAGUGCCUCACACCAUGGGGACAGUGUCCUCGCUACUCUCAAUUUUCAAGCUCUGCUUAGUCUCUCAAAGAUGCUUCCAGUGACCCAGACGCCAUAAUAAGCUGGGUUUUGAAGAAAAAUAAAACUAAUGACAUUGGGUGAGGAAGGAGGUGUUGCUUAAGAGGCAAACCUGGAAGUGGGCAUUCCUUAUUCCCAUGAUUAGGUUAUUUCAACCAAUACAUUAUCCACGGGAAUAAGGAAGAAAUACAUUUCCUUUUUCUUUUGAUCCAAUACCUUAAUAGUCAAGAAAACUUUCUGAAAAUUAAUAGGCACAAAAUGCCAGUGCCUGCUUAGUCCAAGCCAGUCCUGCUCUGUCUCCAUCGUGAAUCAGAAUAAUCUGGAAAAUUUAUUAAAAUACCUAUUCCUGGCUCCAGCCCCCCAGACUUACUGACUCAGAAGGUCUGAGAAGAAGGAACCCCAAUUUGCAUUUCUAUCCAGUUCCCAGAUGCUGCAAGAGGAGAAGAGAGAGACAGGAAGCUGUGCAAGGUGACAGGAAGGGAGCACUGGGCUGGAUCGGCCCAGAUGUGUCCUGCCAGGUGUGUAGGUGAGGGGGCACAUGCCUGGGGACAGGAUGGCCGGCUCUGAAGCCUAUCGUGACCCAAUGUCCUGUUAUUGAUCAGUCUGCCUUCCCUUGGGGUGGGGAAGGUGGAAGAAUUCUUUGGGAAGGAAAAGACUAAGGUUAAGAAGGCAAAUAACCAAGGGGGUAUUUUACCUGCUUGCACUGUGCAAAGUAUGGUCCGGCUCCUCUUCCCAUCUUUCAUGGACACUCCCUGGGGGACAUGCCCGUUCUGAUUGCUCCUGGCAGGCAGUGGUCAGGCGCAGUGCCCACUGGCUGGGAACCCCCCACUUAGCAUUUCAUGGCAUCUCUGUCCUUCCCCACUCAGAGCCCUCUUUUCCCUAUGAGGAUGUCCUUGGAAAUAGCUCAGUCUCCCACACGUUCUUUGGAAGGACUCUGCAUUUCACUCACUGCUCUUCCCUGUCUUGACAGGAAAGUGACCAGCUAGUGGUUUUGGAGAAAAGACACGAGUCCAGGGAACAUGGGGGACAUGUGUGAUCACUGUGGUGAUGACUUCUGAAGUGCCCCGUGUCCCUCGCUGAGCGCCAACGCAGUGGCUCUUCCAGAUGAACACCUGCACUUCCCGCCCCAUGGCAGCUGUUUGGAUGCUCCAGGGAAGGCAUCGGAGGACCAGGAGGCAGAGACCCGCAAGCAGAGAUGGCUGGAGGUGGCGGUUCUGAUGGUCCUCUGUCCUUGAAGAACCCCAUCCUCCCUGCCCCCCCAGCCUCCCCUGGUGUUCCAACUGACCCGGAACAUGAGCGGCAGGAAAGUCACUGCUCCAAUUGAAUUUUGCUGCAGUUUCUUUUUUUUUCCCCUAGAUGCUGAGAGCUAUUUUUAGCCAGGGAUUUUUUAUUUAUUUAUUUUUUUU